CUGACGAGUGGCGGACGGGUGAGUAAUGUCUGGGAAACUGCCUGAUGGAGGGGGAUAACUACUGGAAACGGUAGCUAAUACCGCAUAACGUCGCAAGACCAAAGAGGGGGACCUUCGGGCCUCUUGCCAUCGGAUGUGCCCAGAUGGGAUUAGCUAGUAGGUGGGGUAACGGCUCACCUAGGCGACGAUCCCUAGCUGGUCUGAGAGGAUGACCAGCCACACUGGAACUGAGACACGGUCCAGACUCCUACGGGAGGCAGCAGUGGGGAAUAUUGCACAAUGGGCGCAAGCCUGAUGCAGCCAUGCCGCGUGUAUGAAGAAGGCCUUCGGGUUGUAAAGUACUUUCAGCGGGGAGGAAGGGAGUAAAGUUAAUACCUUUGCUCAUUGACGUUACCCGCAGAAGAAGCACCGGCUAACUCCGUGCCAGCAGCCGCGGUAAUACGGAGGGUGCAAGCGUUAAUCGGAAUUACUGGGCGUAAAGCGCACGCAGGCGGUUUGUUAAGUCAGAUGUGAAAUCCCCGGGCUCAACCUGGGAACUGCAUCUGAUACUGGCAAGCUUGAGUCUCGUAGAGGGGGGUAGAAUUCCAGGUGUAGCGGUGAAAUGCGUAGAGAUCUGGAGGAAUACCGGUGGCGAAGGCGGCCCCCUG
rnacentral:rRNA from 1 species